rnacentral:sRNA from 1 species
GCUGGGUACGGUGGAGCACACUUGUAAUCCCAGUGGUCUGGGAGGCUGAGGCAAGAGGAUCUCGAGUUCAAAGCCAGCCUCAGUAACUUAGCAAGGCCUUAAGCAACUGAGAGACCCUGUCUCUA